GAUGAACGCUGGCGGCGUGCCUAAUACAUGCAAGUCGAGCGAAUGGAUUAAGAGCUUGCUCUUAUGAAGUUAGCGGCGGACGGGUGAGUAACACGUGGGUAACCUGCCCAUAAGACUGGGAUAACUCCGGGAAACCGGGGCUAAUACCGGAUAAUAUUUUGAACUGCAUGGUUCAAAAUUGAAAGGCGGCUUCGGCUGUCACUUAUGGAUGGACCCGCGUCGCAUUAGCUAGUUGGUGAGGUAACGGCUCACCAAGGCAACGAUGCGUAGCCGACCUGAGAGGGUGAUCGGCCACACUGGGACUGAGACACGGCCCAGACGCCUACGGGAGGCAGCAGUAGGGAAUCGUCCGCAAUGGACGAAAGUCUGACGGAGCAACGCCGCGUGAGUGAUGAAGGCUUUCGGGUCGUAAAACUCUGUUGUUAGGGAAGAACAGGUGCUAGUUGAAUAAGCUGGCACCUUGACGGUACCUAACCAGAAAGCCACGGCUAACUACGUGCCAGCCGCCGCGGUAA
rnacentral:rRNA from 1 species